UACGUAGGGGGCAAGCGUUGUCCGGAAUCAUUGGGCGUAAAGCGCGCGUAGGCGGUUUGGUAGGUCCGCUGUGAAAACUCGAGGCUCAACCUCGAGACGCCGGUGGAAACCAUCAGACUAGAGUCCGGAAGAGGAGAGUGGAAUUCCUGGUGUAGCGGUGAAAUGCGCAGAUAUCAGGAAGAACACCCGUGGCUAAGGCGGCUCUCUAGUACGGUACUGACGCUGAGACGCGAAAGCGUGGGGAGCGAACAGG
rnacentral:rRNA from 1 species